UUUUCCAUUGAAUUUCUCCAUUUUAAAGACAUUUUCCCACAAAGUUCUUCCAUUUUCCCAUGGAAUUUCUCAAUUUUAACGAUAUUUCUUCCCUUUUUUCCACGGAAUUUCUCAAUUUUAAAGAUAUUUUACCUGGGAAUUUCCCAAUUUUAAGGACAUUUUUCUCUGGAUUUUCUCCAUUUUAAGGACAUUUCUGCUGGUUUUUUUUUUUCUGGAAUUUCCCAAUUUUAAGAACAUUUUUCUCUGGAUUUUCUCCAUUUCUUAGGACAUUUUUUCAUUUUAAGGACAUUUUCCCAUGGAAUUUCUCAAUUUUUCCACGGAAUUCCUCCAUUUUAAGGACAUUUUUUCCCAUUUUUCCCACACGAAUUUUUCCAUUCCAAGUCCAUUUUUCCUGGGGUGUUUUUUUCCGGAACUCCUCCAUCCACAUUUCCCAUUUUUUCCCCGGAAUUCCCGAAUUUCCCCCAUUUUCCCCCGUUUCAGGCUGGCGGGCGCUGCCCCAGCUCUGCGGCCGCCUCGCGGUCCAGGAGCCACCGGAGCCGCCCCGAGCGGGGCCGGAGCCGCGCGGCCGGGACGGGCUCGGGGUCCUGCUCCUGCUCCAGGAU
rnacentral:lncRNA from 1 species